rnacentral:rRNA from 1 species
AAAAGAAUGCUAAGUGUUGGGAGGGUUUCCGCCCUUCAGUGCUGCAGCAAACGCAUUAAGCACUCCGCCUGGGGAGUACGACCGCAAGGUUGAAACUCAAAGGAAUUGACGGGGGCCCGCACAAGCGGUGGAGCAUGUGGUUUAAUUCGAAGCAACGCGAAGAACCUUACCAGGUCUUGACAUCCUUUGACCACUCUAGAGAUAGAGCUUUCCCUUCGGGGACAAAGUGACAGGUGGUGCAUGGUUGUCGUCAGCUCGUGUCGUGAGAUGUUGGGUUAAGUCCCGCAACGAGCGCAACCCUUAUUGUUAGUUGCCAUCAUUUAGUUGGGCACUCUAGCGAGACUGCCGGUGACAAACCGGAGGAAGGUGGGGAUGACGUCAAAUCAUCAUGCCCCUUAUGACCUGGGCUACACACGUGCUACAAUGGGAAGUACAACGAGUCGCUAGACCGCGAGGUCAUGCAAAUCUCUUAAAGCUUCUCUCAGUUCGGAUUGCAGGCUGCAACUCGCCUGCAUGAAGCCGGAAUCGCUAGUAAUCGCGGAUCAGCACGCCGCGGUGAAUACGUUCCCGGGCCUUGUACACACCGCCCGUCACACCACGAGAGUUUGUAACACCCGAAGUCGGUGAGGUAACCUUUUUGGAGCCAGCCGCCUAAGGUGGGAUAGAUGAUUGGGGUGAAGUCGUAACAAGGGUAACCAGAA